rnacentral:rRNA from 1 species
GAACGGGAUCUUCGGAUCUAGUGGCGGACGGGUGAGUAACGCGUGGGAACAUACCCCUUUCUUCGGAAUAGCCUCGGGAAACUGGGAGUAAUACCGGAUACGCCCUUUGGGGGAAAGAUUAUCGGUGAGGGAUUGGCCCGCGUUGGAUUAGGUAGUUGGUGGGGUAAUGGCCUACCAAGCCGACGAUCCAUAGCUGGUUUGAGAGGAUGAUCAGCCACACUGGGACUGAGACACGGCCCAGACUCCUACGGGAGGCAGCAGUGGGGAAUCUUAGACAAUGGGGGAAACCCUGAUCUAGCCAUGCCGCGUGAGCGAUGAAGGCCUUAGGGUUGUAAAGCUCUUUCGUGGGGGAAGAUAAUGACUGUACCCCAAGAAGAAGCCCCGGCUAACUCCGUGCCAGCAGCCGCGGUAAUACGGAGGGGGCUAGCGUUUGUUCGGAAUUACUGGGCGUAAAGCGCACGUAGGCGGACCGGAAAGUCAGAGGUGAAAUCCCAGAGCUCAACUUUGGAACUGACUUUGAAACUCCUGGUCUUGAGGUCGAGAGAGGUGAGUGGAAUUCCGAGUGUAGAGGUG